UACGUAGGGCGCAAGCGUUGUCCGGAAUUAUUGGGCGUAAAGAUCUCGUAGGCGGUUUGUCGCGUCUGCUGUGAAAACCUAAGGCUCAACCUUGGGCUUGCAGUGGGUACGGGCAGACUAGAGUGCGGUAGGGGUGACUGGAAUUCCUGGUGUAGCGGUGGAAUGCGCAGAUAUCAGGAGGAACACCGAUGGCGAAGGCAGGUCACUGGGCCGCAACUGACGCUGAGGAGCGAAAGCAUGGGGAGCGAACAGG
rnacentral:rRNA from 1 species